rnacentral:rRNA from 1 species
GAUGAACGCUGGCGGCGUGCUUAACACAUGCAAGUCGAACGAAGCAUUUGCGACAGAUUUUUUCGGAAUGAAGUUGCUUAUGACUGAGUGGCGGACGGGUGAGUAACGCGUGGGUAACCUGCCUUGUACUGGGGGAUAGCAGCUGGAAACGGCUGGUAAUACCGCAUAAGCGCACAAUGUUGCAUGACAUGGUGUGAAAAACUCCGGUGGUAUAAGAUGGACCCGCGUCUGAUUAGCUAGUUGGUGAGAUAACAGCCCACCAAGGCGACGAUCAGUAGCCGACCUGAGAGGGUGACCGGCCACAUUGGGACUGAGACACGGCCCAGACUCCUACGGGAGGCAGCAGUGGGGAAUAUUGCACAAUGGAGGAAACUCUGAUGCAGCGACGCCGCGUGAGUGAAGAAGUAAUUCGUUAUGUAAAGCCCUAUCAGCAGGGAAGAUAGUGACGGUACCUGACUAAGAAGCUCCGGCUAAAUACGUG